rnacentral:rRNA from 1 species
UACGUAGGGGGGCAAGCGUUUGUCCGGAAUUAUUGGGCGUAAAGAGCUCGUAGGCGGCUCGUUGCGUCGGCUGUGAAAACCCGCAGCUCAACUGUGGGCUUGCAGCUGAUACGGGCGGGCUGGGAUUCGGUAGGGGAGACUGGAAUUCCUGGUGUAGCGGUGAAAUGCGCAGAUAUCAGGAGGAACACCGGUGGCGAAGGCGGGUCUCUGGGCCGAUAUCGACGCUGAGGAGCGAAAGCGUGGGGGAGCGAACAGG